rnacentral:lncRNA from 1 species
GUUCUAAGUGCCCUUGUCAAAGAAGGAACAGGUGGUAUCUGGGCGGUGAAGGCAGCCUCCUGGCAUUCCCUGGGAGGAAUUUGGGUCUUUGAGACUGUCAGCCUACCAGCAUCUUACCUGCAGCUUGGCAUGAAGGAAGGAGACUGGUUUCCUGUCUCGGUGUCUGAAAGGCUGUGGGAUUCUAGGCUUCCCCGUCUGUAAGUGCAGGGGCCAUGCUCCGCUCUCUCCAAGGCUCCCAUAAAUGUUGACACAAAAGUGUCUGUACUCUCAACCCUCUUACCUCUGGCAUCUCUUAGUUCUCAAAGGCCAGGCUCAGAGGAUGGUCUCCCACAGCCCCUGCC